AGCAGCCCACGACACAGUUAGCCAUUGUGGCUAGGACCGCGGAUUGUCCCAGUCUUGUGGCUGUCCAGAUCUCUGCUGUUUGUUGUUGUUUCCAGGAUUCCGUGUCACAUGUCAUGUCUUGAACUGUGAGAAGUAACAGUGUAACCUACGUUGUUACCAUGACAAAGACCACAGGACUGGAAAACCCACCACAAGCCCAGAUGACAGGCCCAGGCAGAUAGUGGUCAAGUUCCUGAGGUUCAAGGACUAGGUAGCUGUUCUGGAAAGAGCCAAGAACUUGAGAGGAAUGUACGUCUUCCUCAACAAGGACUAUCCUGAAGCUGUGCGCCAGAAGAGGAAAUAACUUAUCCCAGCCAUGAAAGCUGCCAGAGUGUGUGGGGACAUUGCUUACAUCUGUUAUAACAGGCUCAUUGUCCACCCUCCUUCCCAAAAGCCUGGAAGUGAUGAGAGAGCCAAGCCUAUGGUGAGCCAGCCAGGAAGCUGUCAAUGUCCAUUCCCCAUGUCAGUCUCCUAGAUCACCCCGUCUUUGUGUCUGAGUGGUGUGGAUGCAGUCUUCAAGCCCACCAGUCUCUCCAGGAGGAACAUAACUCUGAUAGUCAGCACCACAGCAGAGCACCCUGGCUUCUGUGGGGGGUGUCUCCAGGUACCUAUUGUGGACCAGCCUCACGCCCUUUUGGCCUGACACUUCACUGUUGUCCCAGAGUGUAUCCAUAACCAGUCAGGUAGUACACUGGUCUAGUACACUGCAGGCUGGAGCAGUACUCCUACCCUGAUCAUGGCUUACCGAUGAGGUGUAGGUCCUGAAAUACAGACCUCACAUCCGACCCAACGAUUGCAUUUGACAAGAUGAAGUGAACAACCACUUUGUAUAGGAGCUAAAUGAAAAUAAAACAAAUUGCUAUGAAAAGUA